rnacentral:rRNA from 1 species
CGAAUGGCGGACGGGUGAGUAAUGUCUGGGAAACUGCCCGAUGGAGGGGGAUAACUACUGGAAACGGUAGCUAAUACCGCAUAACGUCGCAAGACCAAAGAGGGGGACCUUCGGGCCUCUUGCCAUCGGAUGUGCCCAGAUGGGAUUAGCUAGUAGGUGGGGUAACGGCUCACCUAGGCGACGAUCCCUAGCUGGUCUGAGAGGAUGACCAGCCACACUGGAACUGAGACACGGUCCAG